rnacentral:SRP_RNA from 1 species
UUUGUGAACCUGGUCAGGUCCGGAAGGAAGCAGCCACAGCAAAUGACGUGUGUGCCGGGAUGUGGCUGGUGGGG